GCAUUUCUCAAGCGAGCCUGAGAUAGUGGAAGUCGGGUGAAAUAAAGUAUGAACGGGCGCUUUCGGUAAGUUUUAGUCGGUAGAUUAUUAAUUAAGACUAUAUUAACAAUGAAGUAAUAAACUAGGGUGGAACCGCGUUUUGACG
rfam:Streptococcus intermedius B196, complete genome.